AUACGUAGGGAGCGAGCGUUGUCCGGAAUUACUGGGCGUAAAGGGCGCGUAGGCGGCGCUUCAAGUCGUCUGUCAAAUGGGAGGGCUUAACCCUUUUUCGCAGACGAAACUGGAGAGCUUGAGAAGCAGAGAGGCAAACAGAAUUCCUGGUGUAGCGGUGAAAUGCGUAGAUAUCAGGAAGAAUACCAGUGGCGAAGGCGGUUUGCUGGCUGCAUACUGACGCUGAAGCGCGAAAGCCAGGGGAGCAAACGGGAUUAGAUACCCCGGUAGUCCUGGCAGUAAACGAUGUAUGCUGGGUGUGAGACUAGCGAUAGUUUCGUGCCGAAGUUAACGCGAUAAGCAUACCGCCUGGGGAGUAUGGUCGCAAGAAUGAAACUCAAAUGAAUUGGCGGGG
rnacentral:rRNA from 1 species